rnacentral:rRNA from 1 species
GGGUGCUCUUCGCCGAGUGUCCGUCUGUGCUGGCAGGUUUACUUUGAAAAAAUUAGAGUGCUCAAAGCAAGCUCUCACGCUUGAAUAUUCGUGCAUGGAAUAAUAGAAUAGGAUGUCGUUUCUAUUUUGUUGGUUUUCGGAAAUCGACAUAAUGAUUAAUAGGGACAGUCGGGGGCAUUUGUAUUCAAACGACAGAGGUGAAAUUCUUGGACCGUUUGAAGACAAACUACUGCGAAAGCAUUUGCCAAGAAUGUUUUCAUUAAUCAAGAACGAAAGUUAGAGGUUCGAAGGCGAUUAUAUACUGCCUUUCUUCUAACCAUAAACGAUGCCAGCUAGCGAUCUGCAGGCGUUUUACUUUACGACCUUGCAGGGAGCUUCCGGGAAACCAAAGCUUGUGGGUUCCAGGGGAAGUAUGGUUGCAAAGCUGAAACUUAAAGGAAUUGACGGAAGGGCACCACCAGGAGUGGAGCCUGUGGCUUAAUUUGACUCAACACGGGAAAUCUCACCAGGCCCGGACACUAGAAGGAUUGACAGAUUGAUAGCUCUUUCUUGAUUUCG